UUGAUAAGGUUGCCAAGUAAUUUCCCAAUUUGUUGCAACUUUAUGAUUAUGAUGAUAUUACUGGAAGCUUGGCUUGAACUAUUCAUAGGCCAUAUAAGAAGAUAUAUAUGAAUGGUUGAACUCUCAUUUGUUCCCCUCUAUCUUUUUGAUGUUUCACUUUUAUUCUAUUUGUACUGAUAGGGUGGAGGGGAACAUUUAAUUCUUUUUAUCUAUUAGUUUUCAGUUCUUAUCUUUGGCUUGUGGUACAACAAUCUGAUAGCUCGCAAGGCUCAUAACCUUGAGGUCACCGAAACUGCAGUUACUUUUCUAUCUUCAAUCAAUGGAUUACAAGUGCCACUAAAAGAAACAAAAGGAAUAUGACCUCUUCAACUAUGAUUGACAAGAAAGGGAAGUAGCAGUGACAAAAUAUGCAAGUUCAGGCAAGAUGCUAAAACUAGGAUCACCGACCCAACUUGGAAGCAACCCACUUUGCUUGGAAUUUUUCACGACUGAAAGAUAGCACUCUUUAGUAUAUUCACUAUUAGCUGGCAUUUGCUCUAUUUUUGGGGAUUCUUUAUUUUUUUUCCCUUGGUUUUCGCUGCUUGAAGAUGUGAUAUGUCUUCUUUAAGACUUCACAUUGACUGAUGAGCAUAGAGGG